AAUCAACGCUGGCGGCGUGCCUCAGACAUGCAAGUCGAACGAUUAAAGCUCUCUUCGGAGAGUGCAUAGAGUGGCGCACGGGUGAGUAACACGUAAGUAAUCUACCUUCGAGUGGGGAAUAACAUCGGGAAACCGAUGCUAAUACCGCAUAAUGCAGCGGCAUCGCAAGAUGACAGUUGUUAAAGAAUUUAUUCGCUUGAAGAGGAGCUUGCGGCAGAUUAGCUAGUUGGUAAGGUAAUGGCUUACCAAGGCUACGAUCUGUAACCGGUCUAAGAGGACGGUCGGUCACACUGACACUGAAUAACGGGUCAGACUCCUACGGAGGCAGCAGUCGGGAAUUUUGGGCAAUGGGCGAAAGCCUGACCCAGCAACGCCGCGUGAAGGAUGAAGUAUUUCGGUAUGUAAACUUCGAAAGAAUAGGAAGAAUAAAUGA
rnacentral:rRNA from 1 species